UACGAGGGCAGCGAGCGUUGUUCGGAGUUACUGGGCGUAAAGGGUGUGUAGGCGGUUGUUUAAGUUUGGUGUGAAAUCUCCCGGCUCAACUGGGAGGGUGCGCCGAAUACUGAAUGACUCGAGUGCGGGAGAGGAGAGUGGAAUUCCUGGUGUAGCGGUGAAAUGCGUAGAUAUCAGGAGGAACACCGGCGGCGUAGACGGCUCUCUGGACCGUAACUGACGCUGAGACACGAAAGCAUGGGUAGCAAACAGG
rnacentral:rRNA from 1 species